AUUGAACGCUGGCGGCGUGCUUAACACAUGCAAGUCGUGCGGUAACAGGCGUAGCAAUACGUGCUGACGAGCGGCGAACGGGUGCGUAAUACAUGGGAAUCUGCCCUUUAGUGGGGAAUAACCCGGCGAAAGCCGGGCUAAUGCCGCAUAAGAUCUCCGGAUGAAAGCGGGGGACCGUAAGGCCUCGCGCUGAUGGAUGAGCCCAUGUCGGAUUAGCUAGUUGGUGAGGUAACGGCUCACCAAGGCGACGAUCCGUAGCUGGUCUGAGAGGACGGCCAGCCACACUGGGACUGAGACACGGCCCAGACUCC
rnacentral:rRNA from 1 species